CCCCGGCGCCACGAGUCGCAAUCGCUUUUAUUGGGCCUAAAGCGUCCGUAGCCGGCUUAGUAAAUCUUCUGUGAAAUCAUUUUGCUUAACAGAAUGGCGUGCAGGAGACACUGCUUUGCUUGAGACCGGGAGGAGUCAGAGGUAUUUCUGGGGGAGCGGUAAAAUGCAAUAAUCCCAGAAGGACCACCUGUGGCGAAGGCGUCUGACUAGAACGGAUCUGACGGUGAGGGACGAAAGCCAGGGGA
rnacentral:rRNA from 1 species